GGCUGUCUGAAAACAUCAAGCAAUCGGCUUCUUCCGUCGAGAACCUCCGAGAAUCUCCCAUCCACCUCCUUCCCCAAUCCUUCCACCGUCUUCUCCAAUCUCCCCAAUCUCCUCCUCAUCUCCUCCACCGCCUCGCCACUGCUGCUGCUGCCGCCGAUGAUCAUCGCUGCCGCAGCGUUCACCUCCUCCACCUCCUUCGAUAUACUCCCCUUCUUGGAAACAACCGCCAAGAUCACCGAAUCCAACGCCUUAAAUGCCGGAGCCGCCACACCCGUGGCUAGUUUUCUCAUCUCCAAAUACGCCGUUGGAUCUCCCUCACAACCAGAAAGCACAAUCCCACAGACCCAAUACCCAAUUCCUUCCAUUGUUGUCAAAGCUCUCUCGAUCGCCCACUCCUCGCCGGAGCAACCCUUCCUCUGCUCUUUCACAUUUCCUCUGAUUUCCAAUCCUUCAAAAUCUCUCUUUAAAACAAUCGGUUUCAGAUGGGAAACCGCCAUUGAAGGAGAGCUGUGAAUUAGGCUCAGAGCAUAAGAAAGGGAAACCCGAGAAUUUCCCAAUUGGGUUAAAGAAAAACUGAUGGAGUUGAGAAGAUCAAGCAAAUUAAGACUAUAAUUCAUAUACCCAUCAACCAGAUCGGCUCCCCAUUUUCCAACAGGGUACUCCAAAUCCACAACCAAUUUCGCAAACGCUUGAUGGAUGAUCGGUAUAAGACCCUGAAGAAGCUGAAGAAGCCAACGAAAUGACAACAAUUUCGAAUCGGAAGUCGACAAUAAGAGUUGGUUCAAGCAAGACGACACGUCGUCCUCAAAGGCCUGAAGACGAGAAACAGAGAAUGAAGCUUUACAUCCGCGGCGAUGGUGGUGGUUGUCGAGCUUGGAACAGAGCUUGUUGAAGGUUUGAAGCAAAAGGGGCAUUAUAAGAGUGGUGAAAUUUGCAGAAUCAAAAGGGGUUUGUUGUUGUUUUGGUGUUUAG
rnacentral:misc_RNA from 1 species